rnacentral:rRNA from 1 species
UUGCUCUUCAACGAGGAAUGCCUAGUAGGCACGAGUCAUCAGCUCGUGCCGAUUACGUCCCUGCCCUUUGUACACACCGCCCGUCGCUACUACCGAUUGAAUGGCUCAGUGAGGCCUUCGGACUGGCGCCGGAGGGUUGGCAACGACCCCCCAGCGCCGGAAAGUUGGUCAAACUCGGUCAUUUAGAGGAAGUAAAAGUCGUAACAAGGUUUCCGUAGGUGAACCUGCGGAAGGAUCAUUACCGAGUGCGGGCCCCUCGGGGCCCAACCUCCCACCCGUGUUGCCCGAACCUAUGUUGCCUCGGCGGGCCCCGCGCCCGCCGACGGCCCCCCUGAACGCUGUCUGAAGUUGCAGUCUGAGACCUAUAACGAAAUUAGUUAAAACUUUCAACAACGGAUCUCUUGGUUCCGGCAUCGAUGAAGAACGCAGCGAAAUGCGAUAACUAAUGUGAAUUGCAGAAUUCAGUGAAUCAUCGAGUCUAUGAACGCACAUUGCGCCCUCUGGUAUUCCGGAGGGCAUGCCUGUCCGAGCGUCAUUGCUGCCCUCAAGCCCGGCUUGUGUGUUGGGCCCCGUCCCCCCCGCCGGGGGGACGGGCCCGAAAGGCAGCGGCGGCACCGCGUCCGGUCCUCGAGCGUAUGGGGCUUCGUCACCCGCUCUAGUAGGCCCGGCCGGCGCCAGCCGACCCCCAACCUUUAAUUAUCUCAGGUUGACCUCGGAUCAGGUAGGGAUACCCGCUGAACUUAAGCAUAUCAAUAAGCGGAGGA